AACGAACGCUGGCGGCGUGCUUAAUACAUGCAAGUCGAACGAGAAAGUCCGGCUUCGGUUGGACGAGUAAAGUGGCGAACGGGUGAGUAACACGUGGAUAAUCUACCCCUAAAUCUGGGAUAAUCCUUCGAAAGGAGGUCUAAUACCGGAUGAUACCCUUUGACGGCAUCGUCUUUGGGUCAAAGGCGGGGCAACCUGUUGUUUAGGGAUGAGUCCGCGCCCCAUUAGCUUGUUGGUGAGGUAACGGCUCACCAAGGCUGCGAUGGGUAGCCGGCCUGAGAGGGCGAUCGGCCACACUGGGACUGAGAUACGGCCCAGACUCCUACGGGAGGCUAG
rnacentral:rRNA from 1 species